CGGACGGGUGAGUAACGCGUGGAGAACCUGCCGUAUACUGGGGGAUAACACUUAGAAAUAGGUGCUAAUACCGCGUAAGCGCACAGCUUCGCAUGAAGCAGUGUGAAAAACUCCGGUGGUAUACGAUGGAUCCGCGUCUGAUUAGCUGGUUGGCGGGGUAAAGGCCCACCAAGGCGACGAUCAGUAGCCGGCCUGAGAGGGUGAACGGCCACAUUGGGACUGAGACACGGCCCAAACUCCUACGGGAGGCAGCAG
rnacentral:rRNA from 1 species